rfam:Erinaceus europaeus unplaced genomic scaffold scaffold00385, whole genome shotgun sequence
UUGCUUCAGCAGCACAUGUACUAAAAAUUAGGAUGAUCCAGAGAAGAUCAGCAUGACCCCUACAUAAGAAUGACAAGCAUACUCAUGAAAUGUUCCAAUAUUUU